GAUGAACGCUGGCGGCGUGCCUAAUACAUGCAAGUCGAGCGAACGGACGAGAAGCUUGCUUCUCUGAUGUUAGCGGCGGACGGGUGAGUAACACGUGGAUAACCUACCUAUAAGACUGGGAUAACUUCGGGAAACCGGAGCUAAUACCGGAUAAUAUUUUGAACCGCAUGGUUCAAAAGUGAAAGACGGUCUUGCUGUCACUUAUAGAUGGAUCCGCGCUGCAUUAGCUAGUUGGUAAGGUAACGGCUUACCAAGGCAACGAUGCAUAGCCGACCUGAGAGGGUGAUAGGCCACACUGGAACUGAGACACGGUCCAGACUCCUACGGGAGGCAGCAGUAGGGAAUCGUCCGCAAUGGGCGAAAGCCUGACGGAGCAACGCCGCGUGAGUGAUGAAGGUCUUCGGAGCGUAAAACUCUGUUAUUAGGGAAGAACAUAUGUGUAAGUAACUGUGCACAUCUUGACGGUACCUAAUCAGAAAGCCACGGCUAACUACGUG
rnacentral:rRNA from 1 species